rnacentral:rRNA from 1 species
GUAGGGGGGCUAGCGUUGUCCGGGAUUCAUUGGGGCGUAAAGAGCGUGUAGGCGGUUCAAUAGGUCCGGGUGUGAAAACUCGAGGGCUCAACCUCGAGAGGUCGCCGGAAACCAUUGAGCUAGAGUCCGGAGGAGGAGAGUGGAAUUCCUGGUGUAGCGGUGAAAUGCGCAGAUAUCAGGAAGAACACCCAUGGCGAAGGCAGCUCUCUGGGACGGUACUGACGCUGAGACGCGAAAGCGUGGGGAGCGAACAGGAUUAGAUACCCUGGUAGUCCACGCCGUAAACGAUGGGCACUAGGUGUGGGUGGUGUCGACUCCAUCCGUGCCGAAGCUAACGCAUUAAGUGCCCCGCCUGGGGAGUACGGCCGCAAAGGCUAA